UACGUAGGGUGCAAGCGUUAAUCGGAAUUACUGGGCGUAAAGCGUGCGCAGGCGGUUGUGCAAGACCGAUGUGAAAUCCCCGGGCUUAACCUGGGAAUGGCAUUGGUGACUGCACGGCUAGCGUGUGUCAGAGGGGGGUAGAAUUCCACGUGUAGCAGUGAAAUGCGUAGAGAUGUGGAGGAAUACCGAUGGCGAAGGCAGCCCCCUGGGAUAACACUGACGCUCAUGCACGAAAGCGUGGGGAGCAAACAGG
rnacentral:rRNA from 1 species